ensembl:ncRNA ZK470.13 ncRNA
UACUCAAAGACACAAAACUGCGUGUCAAAAAAAAACUUGAUCUACACCUUCCAGUCAUCUUCACCUGGGAUCAUACAAUACAUAGAGAAACUUGUUUCAUGUUAUGCAAUGAAUCUACCCUCCUCGAGGCAUAUA